AGGACUCUAGUGAGACUGCCAGUGACAAACUGGAGGAAGGUGGGGGAUGACGUCAAAUCAUCAUGCCCUUUAUGACCUGGGCUACAAACGUACUACAAUGGCCAAUACAAAGAGAUGCGAAGUCGCGAGAUGGAGCGAACCUCAAAAAAAUGGUCUCAGUUCAGAUUGAAGUCUGCAACUCGACUUCAUGAAGGCGGAAUCGCUAGUAAUCGCGGGUCAGCAGACCGCGGUGAAUACGUUCCCGGGUUUU
rnacentral:rRNA from 1 species